rnacentral:tRNA from 1 species
UUUAAGCUGAAAACUGGUGACUCCCAACCACCCUUAAUGA